rnacentral:rRNA from 1 species
UCGACGGUAACAGAAAUCAGCUUGCUGAUUUGCUGACGAGUGGCGGACGGGUGAGUAAUGUCUGGGAAACUGCCUGAUGGAGGGGGAUAACUACUGGAAACGGUAGCUAAUACCGCAUAACGUCGCAAGACCAAAGAGGGGGACCUUCGGGCCUCUUGCCAUCGGAUGUGCCCAGAUGGGAUUAGCUAGUAGGUGGGGUAACGGCUCACCUAGGCGACGAUCCCUAGCUGGUCUGAGAGGAUGACCAGCCACGCUGGAACUGAGACACGGUCCAGACUCCUACGGGAGGCAGCAGUGGGGAAUAUUGCACAAUGGGCGCAAGCCUGAUGCAGCCAUGCCGCGUGUAUGAAGAAGGCCUUCGGGUUGUAAAGUACUUUCAGCGGGGAGGAAGGGAGUAAAGUUAAUACCUUUGCUCAUUGACGUUACCCGCAGAAGAAGCACCGGCUAACUCCGUGCCAGCAGCCGCGGUAAUACGGAGGGUGCAAGCGUUAAUCGGAAUUACUGGGCGUAAAGCGCACGCAGGCGGUUUGUUAAGUCAGAUGUGAAAUCCCCGGGCUCAACCUGGGAACUGCAUCUGAUACUGGCAAGCUUGAGUCUCGUAGAGGGGGGUAGAAUUCCAGGUGUAGCGGUGAAAUGCGUAGAGAUCUGGAGGAAUACCGGUGGCGAAGGCGGCCCCCUGGACGAAGACUGACGCUCAGGUGCGAAAGCG